rnacentral:rRNA from 1 species
GUGGGGAAUAUUGGACAAUGGGCGAAAGCCUGAUCCAGCCAUGCCGCGUGUGUGAAGAAGGUCUUCGGAUUGUAAAGCACUUUAAGUUGGGAGGAAGGGCAGUAAGUUAAUACCUUGCUGUUUUGACGUUACCGACAGAAUAAGCACCGGCUAACUUCGUGCCAGCAGCCGCGGUAAUACGAAGGGUGCAAGCGUUAAUCGGAAUUACUGGGCGUAAAGCGCGCGUAGGUGGUUUUGUAAGUUGGAGGUGAAAUCCCCGGGCUCAACCUGGGAACUGCUUUCAAAACUGCUGAGCUAGAGUACGGUAGAGGGUGGUGGAAUUUCCUGUGUAGCGGUGAAAUGCGUAGAUAUAGGAAGGAACACCAGUGGCGAAGGCGACCACCUGGACUGAUACUGACACUGAGGCACGAAAGCGUGGGGAGCAAACAGGAUUAGAUACCCUGGUAGUCC